CUGCGGAUGAGCAUAUGGCGCAGGAAGGUUUCCUAUUGAGUCUUGGAUCUCUAGACUUCAUAACUACUGACAGGUCAUCAAACGUAUAUGACCUGUUCUUGACAACGGCUUGAGAUGCUAUCAGUAGUGAAGCCAAAUUAAUGUCCUUCCCCUCUAUUAUGUCACGUUUGAGAUUCUGAGGUAUGAGGUGAAUAGGAUUUAUGAUGUUGGUAGCUUUUUUAGCUGGUGAAGGCUUAAUAAAACAUAC